rnacentral:lncRNA from 10 species
UUUGAGACAGAGUCUCACUCUGUUGCCCAGGCUGGAGUGCAGUGGCAUGAUCUCCGCUCAUUGCAACCUCUGCCUCCUGGCUUCAAGCAAUUCUCUGCCUCAGCCUCCUGUGUAGCUGGGAUUACAGGCACCUGCCACCCUGCCCGGCUAAUUUUUUCGUAUUUUUAGUAGAGAUGGGGUUUCACCAUCUUGGCCAGGCUGGACUUAAACUCCUGACCUUGUGAUACACCCACCUCUGCCUCCCAAAGUGCUGGGAUUACAGGCGUGAGCCACCGCACCCAGCCGUUUCUGCAUGUCUUAACAGGGAUUAUGAUAUCUGCCUGAACUACUUACAGGGUACACUGUUAGAGCCAAAUGAGCCAAUGCAAAUCCAAAUUUAUUGAUAAUUCUAAAAUUGUUUCAAUGUAAGUGCAGCAGUAUUCCAAAUAAUCUAAUAAUUAUUCUAAUAUUCUAUUAUCAAAACUGCUUUUUUUGCUGGUAGCUGCCCACCUGCUAUCAUGUGAUGGCAGUAGAAAGACGACCAAUCUCUUUAAACACACUUUCCUUCCUGGUUAUGGCCUUCAAUUCACUGUAUGAGGUCAAUCCUUUGACUGAAACUUUUGCCUAUAAAAUUGCAGUACACCUGGAAUGGUAACACUACAAAAAAUACCUACCUUUUAUUUACUGUGUACUACGUGCUGGUGUUUCAUAUCCACUAUUUCAUAUGCCUUGAAGGAGUCUUGUGCACUAGAUAUUGCUAUGCUCACUUUAUAGAUGAGGACAUUGGGCUCAGAGACCAGGGGACUUACCCAAAUUCAUAGAGCUCGUGGAGGGCAGAGCCAGCACCUGACUGUUUGUGCCUGCCUGUGAUGCUGUAGUCUCCCUGCUCUUGCAAGCAGCUUUGGAUGGGCAGGGUUAGGGCACCGGUCAUCAAGCCUGGGAGGAACAAUAGGACUGUUCAGAGUAAGUGAAGUAGCACACUGGGCGUCAGGGCACGUUCGGGGCCGCGCCGGCACGCAGAGAACCUCGCCCGCUCGGCAUUACUGUCUGGAAACGGCUUGCGGGGACGGUGGAGGAUAACAGGGGGCGAGCACCGCCCGCAGCCGGAGUAGCCCUCGCGUUUUUUCCUUGACAGCGCGGCCGAGCGCCGCUGCGGGUUGUGGAGACUGUCCGCCCUCUAGUGGUCGGCUUCAAAAGUUGCUUCAAAGACAAGCUUGGUGUUGCGGGAAGUCAGGGACCCUGAAUGGAGAGACUGACUGGAGCUACGGCAGAGGAACAUAAAUUGUGGAGAUUUCUUCUUAAUAUGGACAUUUAUCAGUUCCCAAAUA